rnacentral:rRNA from 1 species
GAAGGUUUUCGGAUCGUAAAGCUCUGUUGUUAGGGAAGAACAAGUGCCGUUCAAAUAGGGCGGCACCUUGACGGUACCUAACCAGAAAGCCACGGCUAACUACGUGCCAGCAGCCGCGGUAAUACGUAUGUGGCAAGCGUUGUCCGGAAUUAUUGGGCGUAAAGGGCUCGCAGGCGGUUUCUUAACUCUGAUGUGAAAGCCCCCGGCUCAACCGGUGAAGGUCAUUGGAAACUGGGGAACUUGAGUGC